rnacentral:rRNA from 1 species
GAUGAACGCUGACAGAAUGCUUAACACAUGCAAGUCAACUUGAACUUCGGUUUGGGUGGCGGACGGGUGAGUAACGCGUAAAGAACUUGCCUCACAGAUAGGGACAACAUUUGGAAACGAAUGCUAAUACCUGAUAUUAUGAUUUUAGGGCAUCCUAGGAUUAUGAAAGCUAUAUGCGCUGUGAGAGAGCUUUGCGUCCCAUUAGCUAGUUGGAGAGGUAACGGCUCACCAAGGCGAUGAUGGGUAGCCGGCCUGAGAGGGUGAUCGGCCACAAGGGGACUGAGACACGGCCCAUACUCCUACGGGAGGCAGCAGUGGGGAAUAUUGGACAAUGGACCAAGAGUCUGAUCCAGCAAUUCUGUGUGCACGAUGAAGUUUUUCGGAAUGUAAAGUGCUUUCAGUUGGGAAGAAAAAAAUGACGGUACCAACAGAAGAAGUGACGGCUAAAUACGUG